rnacentral:rRNA from 1 species
UACGGAGGGAGCUAGCGUUGUUCGGAAUUACUGGGCGUAAAGCGCACGUAGGCGGCUUUGUAAGUUAGAGGUGAAAGCCCGGGGCUCAACUCCGGAACUGCCUUUAAGACUGCAUCGCUUGAAUCCAGGAGAGGUGAGUGGAAUUCCGAGUGUAGAGGUGAAAUUCGUAGAUAUUCGGAAGAACACCAGUGGCGAAGGCGACUUACUGGCCCGGUACUGACGCUGAGGUGCGAAAGCGUGGGGAGCAAACAGG